AUUGAACGCUGGCGGCAGGCCUAACACAUGCAAGUCGAGCGGAGCGGCGGACGGGUGCGUAAUGCCUAGGAAUCUGCCUGGUAGUGGGGGAUAACGUCCGGCAACGGGCGCUAAUACCGCAUACUAUCAGAUGAGCCUAGGUCGGAUUAGCUAGUUGGUGGGGUAAAGGCCUACCAAGGCCACGAUCCGUAACUGGUCUGAGAGGAUGAUCAGUCACACUGGAACUGAGACAAGGUCCAGACGCCUACGUGAGGCAGAAGGGGGGAAUAUUGGACAAUGGGCGAAAGCCUGAUCCAGCCAUGCCGCGUGUGUGAAGAAGGUCUUCGGAUUGUAAAGUACUUUCAGCGGGGAUGCGUUACCCGCAGAAGAAGCACCGGCUAACUCCGUGCCAGCAGCCGCGGUAAUAC
rnacentral:rRNA from 1 species